rnacentral:rRNA from 1 species
AUGGACUAUUUAGCUAGAUUGAUGUACUCCACCGGUGCGCAGGUAACUUUUGUUUCAGAGACUAGGUCCUCUAGGUGCAAUUCUGCUCAGCUAAAUACUCGUUUUAAUACUUCGGCUAGCUUUGUGGUUCCUUCGAUUGGUCUUUCCAGUGGACUGUGGUUGCUAUGGUCUGAUGAUGUUUCUCUCCCAGUCAAGUACUCCAAUAGCAAUCUCAUCUUAGCUUUAGCUGUGCAUUGUCCCACUAGUGUAGAGUUUGUACUUGUAUGUGUUUAUGGAGAUCCCCACCAUCGUCUUACUAAUAUGAUCUGGGAGUUUAUUUUCAAUUUUGUAUGUGAUAAUCUCGACAAACCAGUAGUUUGUUUAGGAGAUUUUAAUAAUAUUAUGUAUGAUACGGAAACUUCCUCGGUUAAUGUGUAUAAAAAUCGUAUGCGUGCUUUCAAUGGGUAUGUUAAGCAAUGUGGUUUGUUCGACUUGGGCUUUUCUGGCCCUGCUUAUACGUGGACAAAUAGACGUUUUUCUUCCAAACCUAUGUUUGAAAGGCUUGAUCGUUGCUUGGCAAAUGCUGAAUGGUGUGAUCUUUUUCCGAACACUAAUGUUUUUAACUUGCCUAUUAUUUUGAGUGAUCAUGCUCCUAUAUUGGUCUCCACGGAAUCGAAGUUUCGCAUGCCUCGGUUGACUUUUAAGUUUGAAAAUUGGUGGGCUCUGGAAGAGGACUUCCACACUGUUGCUAAUAAUGCUUGGUCCUCUACAGUAAACAUGCCCUUCCACAUCAGGGCUAAUAAUCUUGCAGGAACGCUUAAAAAAUGGUGCAAGAAAAAGGAUUCCCUCCGAAAACAAUUACGAUCUCUGGAAGAACAGAUGAACAACAUCCAAGUACAACCCCUUGAGGAUCAGGAACAUUCUGUUGAGGUUCAGCUUGUAGCUCAAUAUGAAAGAAACAUGUCCAAGCUCAAUGAAUAUUACAGGCAAAGGGCCAAGAAACAUUGGGCUACUCGCGGUGACAGGAAUACUUCAUUUUUUCAUAAUGCUGUCACUAAGCGUAGGAGACGCAACCGCAUUCUUUCCAUCAAGGAUGCUCAAGACAAAGAUCUUUUUGAUCCCCAGGACAUUGCAAAUGAAUUUGUAGACUACUUUAAGAACAUUUUUCAAUCUUUAAGUCCUAAUAAUUGUAGACCUUUUUUAAGUACUACUCUUCCUCAGGACACACAAGACUUUACUAAUUCAAUACCAGAUAAGCAGGAACUCUGGGAGAUUUUAAAAGAAAUGAGGAUGAAUGCAUCUCCGGGUCCGGAUGGCUUUAAUGCGGGCUUUUAUAAAACAGCUUGGAGCUGGAUUGGUGAUGAUGUUACUCAACUGGUAAGGAAUUUUUACGUUACAGGUGUUCUGCCUCCUCGUCUUAAUGAAACUCAUAUUGCUCUUAUCCCCAAAAAGAUAGUUUGUAAAUUACCUUCAGAUUUUAGACCUAUAAGCCUGUGUAAUGUAGUUUAUAAAAUUAUUGCUAAGUCCUUGGCUAAUAGGUUGAAGUCUCAUUUUCCAGAUUACAUCCAUCCUUCUCAGCAGGCAUUCAUUAAAGGUAGACGUAUUAGUAACAACAUCAUAGUAGCGCAAGAAAUUGCUCACUCUUUCUCCUUGAAAUCCUAUAAAGGCAAUGACUUCAUGCUUAAAAUCGAUCUUGCAAAAGCUUUUGACAGAAUGGAGUGGAAUUUCAUUUGCUCUGCUCUUGCAUGUAAGGGGUUGCAUAGCCAUUUCAUUAAUCUUAUAUAUGCUUGCAUUUCUUCUCCCUCUUUUUCUGUGAUCAUAAAUGGGCAGCCUUUUGGAUGUUUCAAAAGUUCUAGGGGUAUACGACAAGGAUGUCCUUUGUCUCCAUAUCUUUUUGUCCUUGCUGUUAAUGAGCUCUCAAUGGCCCUACAGAAUGCACUACAAGCCAACCAGCUCUCAGGUAUAUCCUUAGGUCCAAACUGCCCUCCUAUCCACUCGUUAAUGUUUGCUGACGACUUGUUGAUAUGUGGAAAAGCUAAUAUGCAGGAAGUUCAGACUAUUUCCCAAAUUUUACAGCAAUUUGGCCACCUUUCGGGGCAGCUUCCCAACUGGAAUAAGUCAGCCAUUAUGUUUAGUACAAACGUUUCUUUGCAGGAAAAACAGGAUAUCAGGAACUUAUUUCCAGUGCCAUAUAUGGAUAACUCCUUCACCCAUUUGGGUCAUCCUCUUAUUCUUCCGGCUAAGGAUAGAGCUAGAGCUUAUAAUUUUGUGUACGAUAAAUUUAAGUCGAAGCUCUCUACUUACAAAGCUAAUAGGCUUUCACAUGCAGCUAGAUUGACCUUGAUCAAAUCUGUGUUCUCUUCAAUUCCUGUCUACUACAUGUCCAACAUUUUGUUUUCUAAGAAAUUUCUUGCUAGGCUCACAUCUAUCAUCAGGAAUUUUUGGUGGACAGGUAUUAAGGAUGACUCUACUAAAAGGGCUCUAUGUUUGAGAGCCUGGGCGGACAUAUGCACAGAUAAGAAGAUAGGAGGCCUAGGAAUUAGGAAUCUACAAGCCAUCAACCAAAGUUUAAUUCUUUCUGCAGCUUGGAGAAUAGCUAACGAGCCUAGCAGUAAUUUGGCUCUUAUUCUCAAGUCAAAGUACUAUGCAAAUACCUCAUUUUGGAGAGCAAAAGCCAAUAUGCCUAAGUCAGCUUUCUGGACAGCCAUAUUGAAGGUAAGACAUCUACUGAGCUCUGCAUCUUUUUAUCAACUUGUGGAUGGAAGCUCCUCCAUUUGGAGCUCUCCAUGGUUCUCUAAAUGGCAAGAUAUUUAUGACAAUUUGAAUAUUCAACAACCACCUUACUCCUAUCCAGCUGUGGUAAAAGAUCUGUGGUCCAAUAGUCAAAAGGUAUGGAACACCCAACUAGUUAAUACCUUGUUUACCCCUGAAACUGCGGCUGUCAUCUUGCAAACCCCUAUAGUUGAUUCUCUAGGCCAUGAUUUGCUUGUAUGGAAGCUAACCCCUGCAGGUGAAUUCUCAACCAAAAGUGCCUACAAGCAUUGUUACAAAAAUCUUGAGCUCCCUAUUAAUCAGAGACCUAAGCCAGUGCCACAACAGGUAAUCUCUCUUCUCAAUCAGGUUUGGGCAGAAAAAAUGAUGUUACCCAGGGUUCAAACUUUUGCUUGGAGACUACUUCGGCGAGCCCUAGCUACUGGGAAAAGAGCAGGUAAGUUUUCCAAACAUAUAAAAUCUGAGUGCUCCAGGUGUGGCAUGGAAGAAGAUGAAAUGCACAUGUUAUUCUUAUGUCACUUCUCCAAAGCGGCUUGGUUUUCACAUCCUUGGUACAUCAGAACUGAAAUGUUAGCUGGCACACAUCAAACUAUACCCGAUAUGAUAUAG